rnacentral:lncRNA from 13 species
UCGCACAGCCGUUGGUACUUACUCCUCUUAAGCGACUCUGCCGUCUGUUCCUUUGUUCUACUGCCCAGGGUACGUGGCUGGAAGCAGUAAGGGGUCAAAGCCGAGUGAAAUCCUCUGGCGUUUUCUUCUGACAUCCAGAAAUCUGCCAAGAAGGGAUCAGGACAC